UACGAAGGGGGCUAGCGUUGUUCGGAAUUACUGGGCGUAAAGCGCACGUAGGCGGACAUUUAAGUUGGAGGUGAAAGCCUUGGGCUCAACCCAAGAAUUGCCUUUGAUACUGGAUGUCUCGAGACCGGGAGAGGUGAGUGGAAUUCCGAGUGUAGAGGUGAAAUUCGUAGAUAUUCGGAAGAACACCAGUGGCGAAGGCGGCUCACUGGCCCGGUUCUGACGCUGAGGUGCGAAAGCGUGGGGAGCAACAGGG
rnacentral:rRNA from 1 species